CAAAACAAUAUCAAGGGUGAAAAGCAAAGGAGGAGAAAGACAAAUUCAUGAAUAUGACUGUACCUGCCUUCCCUCUGGCAGGACAAAAGUUAAAAGGCCCUCUUUCAAUUUCAGAGUUUCUAUGGUACAGAGUAGAAACAGAAGUCAAGAGCGAUGGAGGAACUUUCAUGUUGAGGUCCAGUGAUCCAGUGCAAGUGUCUCCCACGCCAUGCCUGAAGCUGUUUCACAGCUGGAGAGAUCCUUCAGUGACAGAUUGCUGCAUCCCAAGUACACAAAAGUGCAUUAUUGCAUGUCCUUCCACCCAGAGCUGGCCCAUGGCACAAGCAAAUUAAGUGGCUGCCACUUAGG